GGAUGAACGCUGGCGGCGUGCCUACUACAUGCAAGUCGAGCGAACGGACGAGAAGCUUGCUUCUCUGAUGUUAGCGGCGGACGGGUGAGUAACACGUGGAUAACCUACCUAUAAGACUGGGAUAACUUCGGGAAACCGUAGCUAAUUCCGGAUAAUAUUUUGAACCGCAUGGUUCAAAAGUGAAAGACGGUCUUGCUGUCACUUAUAGAUGGAUCCGCGCUGCAUUAGCUAGUUGGUAAGGUAACGGCUUACCAAGGCAACGAUGCAUAGCCGACCUGAGAGGGUGAUCGGCCACACUGGAACUGAGACACGGUCCAGACUCCUACGGGAGGCAGCAGUAGGGAAUCUUCCGCAAUGGGCGAAAGCCUGACGGAGCAACGCCGCGUGAGUGAUGAAGGUCUUCGGAUCGUAAAACUCUGUUAUUAGGGAAGAACAUAUGUGUAAGUAACUGUGCACAUCUUGACGGUACCUAAUCAGAAAGCCACGGCUAACUACGUG
rnacentral:rRNA from 1 species